UACGUAGGGUGCAAGCGUUAAUCGGAAUUACUGGGCGUAAAGCGUGCGCAGGCGGUUUUGUAAGUCUGUCGUGAAAGCCCCGGGCUCAACCUGGGAAUUGCGAUGGAGACUGCAAGGCUUGAAUCGUGCAGAGGGGGGUAGAAUUCCACGUGUAGCAGUGAAAUGCGUAGAGAUGUGGAGGAACACCGAUGGCGAAGGCAGCCCCCUGGGUCAAGAUUGACGCUCAUGCACGAAAGCGUGGGGAGCAAACAGG
rnacentral:rRNA from 1 species